AUUAAUGUAGUUAUAAAGGUUUGAGUAGUAAUAGUUAAGAUCUUGAAACUUAAAGAAUUUGGCGGUGUUUUAAUCUGAUCAGAGGAAUUUGUUCUAUAAUUGAUAAUACACGAUUAGGAAGACUUAAUUUAAAAUUUGUAUAUCGUCGUCAUAAGAUUAUUUUUGAAAAAAUUUAAAUUUCGUGAUACUUGUAGAGAGUAAAAUGUCAGAUCAAGGUGCAGUUUAUAAUUAAGAAAGUUAAUGGAUUACAAUAGUAGAUGAAUUAUACGAAUAUUUUUAAGGAAUUAAAAUUUGAAGGUGGAUUUGUAAGUAAAUUUAAUAAAAAAAUUAUGUUGAAAUGAGUUCUAAAAUAUGU
rnacentral:rRNA from 1 species